UUGCCUCUGACUGGUUUUCAGUUCCUCUAAGAGUAUUUGUUAUGGACUUCCGGUUAAGAUGGCGGCUUAGAGAAAGCUGAAGUUCAGAUCUCCGGAAAACCCUUCCCGACCGAUCUCAAACUAGAAGCUCCUAAGGCGCCGAAAUUCAAAACGAUCAACAGCACAGACCCUGGGAACCCUCCUCCUGGACCUGGACCCGGUUCAAAAGGUACGGCUCCCCUUAAAAGCCAGAACCCGAGAUCCCUCGGACCUCAGGGGUAGGAGCGCAGAGUCCAAGGCUCCCAGAAGCGGCAGCCGCGCGGGGCUCAGAGAGCAGGGUCUGAGGAACAACAACCCUCAGGGUCUUCUACCCAAGUCCCAGUCCGGGUGAAAGUUACUGCCUGGGGCCUCCGCUGCAAAGAGCCUGUCGGUCCGGGUGAAAGUUACUGCCUGGGGCCUCCGCUGCAGAGAGCUGGUCAAAACAACAGCAACCCUCAGGGCGGGCAAGACAGCCUCACGGGCUGGAUCCUGCUAUCCAAGUCUCAGUGAAAGUCUGUGCUCUCGGAGCUUGGGGAAGCGGCAGCCCAUCCCCCCGCAGGCCGAGGAAACAGCCUCACGGCCAGGGAUUCUGAAGGCAACUUCCAGAAAGCGAGCCGGGGGGAGAGUGUGGCCUCGUGGUCCGACCCUUCCAUUCCAGUUCCAGUGAGGCAUAUUCAGUUUAACCCAGGGAAAGCUCAUAGAAGGGACAAUCUGCCCCGGACUAAAGCCUCUGAUCACCAGACAGAGAUAAGAAAAGCUAAUCCUCCACAUUCAGAGAUGGCAGCAAACUCCACAGAAGCACAGAAGCCCCAAAAUGCCAAGAAAAAUAAAAAAAAAAAAGAAAAAAAAAAAAAAAAAAAAAAAAAAAAAAAAAAAAAAAAAAGGAAGAAGGAACAAUUUGAAGGC
rnacentral:lncRNA from 1 species